UCACCAGAGCUUUUGUUGCUCUUGGCUCACGUGUAUUGGUAGAAGAGACAAGCUGGAUCGCAUGCUGAAGGUGGUUACCUCCUGGCAUAUACACACCGCACAGGCAUACAAUACUAUGAUUUAGAUGAUGCAACCUGCUUUUCCCAUGUUUAACAUACACUUAAGAGUAUCAGUGGACCUGUACAAGUGUGAUUUCUCUACUGAUAAUGUGGAUAUAAAGAUACAAAGCCACUCUGGUGUGAUUUAUUUAAUUAUUCCUUAACAGUGAAAGUGAACCAGUUAAACCAAAGGUUGCACUCUGUAAGAUCAGGUUUACAAAAAUUAAAUAGAAAAUAACAUCAAUUUUAUUAAUUAAGUAAUCCUCUCUGCAAAAUAUAUUUGGUAUGUUGUUGUACUGGUAAGAAUAUAAUUUGGACAUUUUUUAUGGGAAAUGUUUCCAUUUAAAAAUGUAGCUCAGACGCCACAACUAUAAUUCUCCUUUCUGAGGUGUUUUCUUUUGUGGUAAAUUGUGAAAACAAAUUAUGUUGACCUACAUUUAAGUUAAAAAAAAA